UGGGCCUGGGUCAGGUGAUGGCCGUUUCUUUCUAACCUUAAUUGAGAAAGGCGUAGGCACCGUGCUUUUGCUGCCAGCCUGUUGUUUUUCUCGCUGAAAGCCAGCUGGCGGAAAACCCUCGGCCUACUGCCGUCCACCAUCCAGUCUAGAGCAAACAAAAAAUGUCAGCGGCUGGCUAACUCACUCCUCCCAGAAACCUGUGGUGCUUGCCUGCCCAGCCCCCGCACCCUGCCCGGAGGCCACCGUCAGCCCGGGGCUUCACCCACAGGUGCCCAACACUGCCAGGAAAAGUUGGGCUCUAGCUGCGGCUCUAGCCUCAGGGAGAGAAACAGAGCCCGUUCCCGUGCUGUGCACUUCCCUGAGCUGUGGGACUUGCACCCAGGACUGGGCUCAGACAUAC
ensembl:misc_RNA Telomerase-vert Vertebrate telomerase RNA